rnacentral:rRNA from 1 species
AGAACGAACGCUGGCGGCGUGGAUAAGACAUGCAAGUCGAGCGGGAUUUCCUUAGUAGCAAUACCGAAGGAAGUCUAGCGGCGAACGGGUGCUUAACACGUGGGCAACCUGCCAAGAAGUGGGGGAUAGCUCGCCGAAAGGCGAAUUAAUACCGCAUGUGAUUAGAGUGGACAUCCAUUCGAAAUUAAAGUCGGGGCAACCUGACGCUUUUUUGUGGGGCCCGCGGCCUAUCAGCUAGUUGGUGAGGUAACGGCCCACCAAGGCUUUGACGGGUAGCUGGUCUGAGAGGACGACCAGCCACACUGGGACUGAGACACGGCCCAGACACCUACGGGUGGCAGCAGUGGGGAAUAUUGGACAAUGGGGGCAACCCUGAUCCAGCCAUGCCGCGUGAGUGAUGAAGGCCUUCGGGUUGUAAAGCUCUUUUGGCGGGGACGAUGAUGACGGUACCCGCGAGAAUAAGCCCCGGCUAACUUCGUGCCAGCAGCCGC